UCUGUAACAAAUUACCAUAAAUGUAACACAACACAAAUUCAUUAUUUUACAGUAUUGGUCAGAUGUCUGGCACUGGUUUCCAUGGGCUGAGGUCAUGGCAGUGGCAGAGUUGGUUCCUUCCAGAGGCUCUAGGGUAGAAUCUGUUUUCUUGCUUUUCCAGCAUCAAGUGACCACCUACCUUACAUGGUUCAUGGCCGCCUCCUUCAUCUUCAGAUCUGGCAGUGUGGCACCUGUGACCUAGCCAGAAAACAUUCUCCACUUUUAAGGAUUUUGUGUGAUUAGACCGGGUUCAUCUGGAUUAUCUCUCCAUCUCAAGUUCCUCAACGCUAAUCACAGCUGCAAAGUCUCUUUUGCUAUAAAAGAGUCCAGAGUUGCUUCUGUUGACCAUAAUUUCCUGUGGUGCAGAGGGGCUACAAGUGUGACACAGAUUAAACUCUCUGUAGGAAGUCUCUGAUGGGAAAGAACAUGUUCAGCUUCCCACUGGGGUUGACAGAGCUGGUGCUCAGGUAAUCAACAUUUUGCUGAGCCUACGAGGAAGCAUUUGGGACAACUUCACAAUGCAUAUUGGUGCUUCUUCUUCCUGCUGCCUUGUGAAGAAGGUGCCUGGCUUGCCCUUCACUUUCUGCCAUGAUCAUAAGUUUCUUGAGGCCUCCUCAGCUAUGCUGAACUGGACAUGGAUGAAUCUGGAGAACAUUAUUCUCAGCAAACUGACACAAGAACAGAAAAUGAAACACCGCAUAUUCUCACUCAUAGGCGGGUGAUGAAAAAUGAGAACACAUGGACACAGAGAGGGGAGUACUAAACACUGGGGUCUAUUGGGGGGAAAAGGGGAGGGCCAGUGGGAGGGGGA
rnacentral:lncRNA from 13 species